GAUGAACGCUAGCGGCAGGCCUAACACAUGCAAGUCGAGGGGUAGAGGAAGCUUGCUUCCUUGAGACCGGCGCACGGGUGCGUAACGCGUAUGCAAUCUACCUUUUACAGAGGGAUAGCCCAGAGAAAUUUGGAUUAAUACCUCAUAGUAUUUUCGAAUGGCAUCAUUUGAUUAUUAAAGUUCCAACGGUAAAAGAUGAGCAUGCGUCCUAUUAGCGAGAGGGUAAGGUAACGGCUUACCAUGGCAACGAUAGGUAGGGGUCCUGAGAGGGAGAUCCCCCACACUGGUACUGAGACACGGACCAGACUCCUACGGGAGGCAGCAGUGAGGAAUAUUGGACAAUGGGCGCAAGCCUGAUCCAGCCAUGCCGCGUGCAGGAAGACGCAUCUAUGGUGUGUAAACUGCUUUUGUACGGGAAGAAACACUCCCUCGUGAGGGAGCUUGACGGUACCGUAAGAAUAAGGAUCGGCUAACUCCGUGCCAGCCGCCGCAGUAA
rnacentral:rRNA from 1 species